rnacentral:rRNA from 1 species
AACACAACUUUCAACAACGGAUCUCUUGGCUCUCGCAUCGAUGAAGAACGCAGCGAAAUGCGAUAAGUAAUGUGAAUUGCAGAAUUCAGUGAAUCAUCGAAUCUUUGAACGCACCUUGCGCCCUCUGGUAUUCCGGAGGGCAUGCCUGUUUGAGUGUCAUGU